rnacentral:lncRNA from 1 species
CCCAUGAGAAGGUACCCAGCCUGUGCAGGACAUAACUCAUUUUCCCUGAAUGUAUGCACCAGCGUCCAUGGUUGUGAAUUUCCUAUUUCAGAAUCAAGAAUGACCAAAACAUUUGCUUAUUAUCAUUCAAAGAACAAAACCCUGCCAGUGUUUACAGGACUCAGUAUUACCCCAUUGCUUUAUUAGAACAAGCCAACUACUUCCUUUGCUUGGGAUCCUUCUCCCAGUGUGGUCCUGCGUCUCACCCAGAACUGUGGUUUUACCAACCACAGAUUGUCCCCCCAACACAUUUAAGAAUUCGUUCAAAUCCUAUAUUUAUGUCUACGGUUUACUAGAGGGGGAUGUGCAGAGCCCAUAUGAAAGAUCAAAAUUGCUUACCACAAGCAGUGAAUAUAGCACAUCCUGUUCAAAUAACAAGUUAGAUUACUUGCUGUUAUCUCUAAUGGCUUUUGGAAAAUUUGGAAAACAACCACGCAGUGAGCAGAGCACACUACAGCACAGGACUUUGAGCCCCCGCAUCUCUGUGACUUUGGUCAAGUGGUUAUACCCCUCAGUCUCCUCUUCUCUCAAUUGGGAUAGGACCCAACUCACAGGAUGUCUGUGAAGAUUAAAGUGAGGUUGUGUGAGAGCUCCCUGUACAUUGUGUUGUUCUUGCCAUCCCCAUUAAUCACAUCUGGCUGGUUUCCAGAGAUUGCUGAGGAAAUGGCACUUUGCUGCUGCUUCACACCCCAGAAGGCAGCUGGGAAUGUGAAACAGCUCUGUGGGAAAACCACCUCCUCUGAUGCUCUAGACCUGAGCUGUCUCCUACAGUAACCCCCUAGCCACUUGUGGCUAUGAAAAAAUUAAAUUUAAAAUACACUUCCUCUGUCAUACUAGUCAUUUUUCAAUGGCUCACAGCUACUUGUGGCUGGUGGCUACCAUAUUGUUGUGUGCAAAUAUAGAACAUGUCCAUCAUCCAGAAAGGUCUAUUGAACAGCAGUCCAAAAUCCCCCCAUCUCUUUGAAGCAUUCCAGGAAUCCCUAAAGUAAGAAUACCACAGAGCCCACAGAGCAUAUAUUUUAAGCUAGAUCACCCCAAAUACACCCUUCAGAUUUACUAUUAAUAAAAGGACAUAGAAAUGGAUGUUGUUGCUAUAAAAUAGUUAUUAGAAUCACAGAGACUAUUGACCUGGGAGGUAUACAUUAAUUAUGCUGUAUGUGCCGUUUCUGGGACAAUCCUCAGGAAUUUGUCAUGGGGAGUUAAUAAAGAAAAUUAUUAGGUUUAAAGCAGAGAUCCUCCAAAAACCAAGAUGUAACUUUUGGGGGAGUUUUUAAAAGAAAAAAAACACAACAGAAGACAAGUCAACUAACAUCCUGGAAGCUGACAUGGAGGAGAAAGUAAUUGGCCAGCUCUUAGAGAAGCUAUCAGCACAUAACGGCUUUGCUCCCAUCUGUCUGCAUAACUCUAGGACCCCAAGAGGAACUGGGCAAUUACCAUGUGUCACCACAGAGCCUCCUUGAGGAGAGGAGGGCAGGCAUCAUGUCAGAUACAAUAAUCAGCAUUAUUUUCCCCGGUAAAUUGUGUUAGAAAUGUCUCCCUGGUGAGUGUGCUUCCCUCCUCUGCUGGAAUUUCCUUCUGCAGGGAGGUUUGGAUGAGGACUGGGCCAAACCCACCAUGGUUCAGUGCAGUUUCCCACUGGAAAGGUCCCAGGGGCAGAAAAAUGGGUCCAGUUGGAGUUUGUUGUUUUUAAAUAUAUAAUAGUUAUUACGUUAUUGUUCUUGCUUGUACUAGAUAUAGAUGGUACUGAAGAAAAAUGGAAGUAGGCAGUCUUCUAUGAUGUAACAAUGUUACAAAAAUCAACUCAGGCCCCUGUGAUAAGCUUUGGCUCAGAGUAUGGCAUGUGCCUAAACACUUGUGGAAAUGUUUGCUUGAAUAACAAACAGUGUACAUAUUACUAGUAAUCAGCAUUAAUACUUAGCACUUUUCAUUAAUAGUAGUAAUAGUAAUGCUAUUAAAUAUCAGUUAAAACAUUAUUAGUAUUUUUAAAAAAAUCAUUCCAGCAAAUAUUUAUUUUAUACCAACUUGGUUUCAAACUCUAUUCUAAGCCCUCGGGCAAAUCUCAGGAAACUUAGCUUUGAGUGAGGGGAGACUGCCUAGUAUGAUAAUUACAGGCAGUGAUAUAGGCUUGGAAGAGUGAGUGAGGGGAGGGAGGGAGACAUCGCAGGCUACUUCCUCAAGGUGCCUGGGGAACGACCUUCUGAGGAAGGGAUAGGUGUUCUGACCCCUCUGUAAUGAGAAGGAGCCAUGACAUGCUCUGAAGUUACAGCAAUUAGAAUGCAUUGGACAACAAGAAGCAAAAAACUUUGAUUUGAAUCACUAAAACAAUAAGAACAUGUCUUGUUUCAUAUAACAAGAAGUCCUGGGGUAGGAAAGAUGUAGGCCUGGCUAACUCAGGGCUCAGCUAUAACACAAGGACCCAGGUUCUUCCAUCUGCAAGUCUUGACUUGCUCUUCAGACUAUCUCCUCUCAUGGCUGCCUCAGUUCCCAGCACCACAUCUGAAACAACAUCCAGAGGAAGAAGUGAGCAUUUCCAGAAAUGGCCCCAGCGGACUUCUUCUUGCAUCUCAUUGGUCAGAACUGGACCAGAUGCUCACCCUUAAAAUCAUCCACCAGAAAGGGAACAGCAUCACCAUGCUUGGUGAACUUUCUCAGUAAAGAGUUAGGAAAUAUUUUAGGCUCUUGUGGUUCAAGAGGUAAAACUGGGGAUAUUAUGUAGGUACUUAUAUAACAAGAUAAAAGAAAUUUCCACAAAAUUAUUAUCGAUUGAAUAAAUUAAAAUAAUGGAAAAAAUAAAAAUCAUUAUAAAUGAAAACAAAUAAAAAUAAAAAUAAAAAAAUGCAAAAUGGAAUAAUAAUAAUUAAAUCUAUUUUUAAAAUAUAGGUCUAAUGAGAAGAAUGGACUUUUUCGGGAGGGGGGAUACCAUUUUGAUUAUUUGUGGGCCAAGGGUAGUGUUCCCUAUUGCCAAAAUAAAACUGCAAAUAUUCAUCUGUGAGUGCUGAUGGGAGAGUUUACAUAUUUCAUCUUUGAAGAUGUCUUUACCUGGAUAGCUGAUACAUGUGGCCUUAAACGGCUUUCAAGUCGUAAUUCUGUCACUGCGAUUUGUGGUGUGCCACUACUCAAUUUUGCUGUUGUUGUCUGAAAGCAGCUCCACACAGAAAGUAAAGAAAUGGACUUAACUGUGUUCCAAAAAAACUUGACUUAUAGUCACUCAAAUUUGUACUUUUCAUAUGUAAUCAAGUAUCAUUCUUAUAUUGUUUUCAAUUAUUUAAAAGUGUAAAAACAAUUCUCAGCUUGUGGGCUGUGGGCUGUGCAAAAACAAUGUGGCCCACAGCUGUGGUUUUCUGACUCCUGCUCUAGACUAAUGAGGAUUUCCUGUGAGGAAGGAAGUCAUGAGGGGAAGGGAGUCACCUUGCAGGGAUCAAGAUGGAAACCACACUUCAGGAGAGAACUUUCCAGGCUAAGGGAACAGUACAUGCAAAGAUACAGUGGCAGCAAAAGCCCUGUGUAUAUGUUCCUCACCCAGGAGCAGAGAGGAAGAGGGGAAGAGGGGCCCAAGAUGAAGAUGAGAUAGUUAGGCAACUUCCAGAGUGGUGCAGACAAGUCUCACGGACCCUCUCCGCAGCAAAACAACUAUAAGUGGUGAGAAUUUUUAAAAAAAUCUAAAUUACCUAAAAACUCCAUGAUUGUACCAACGUCACACAGCAAGUAAAGAAAUGUUCAUUCAAGACAACCCAUUAAACCUUGGUAAGAGCUGUGAGUCUGCAGCACCUGCUGAGCCACAAGAGGAACUCCACAAACAUUUUUUAUUUUAACGAAACCCAAAUUAUUUUUACAUAUGCAUUUUGGAAGUUGCAGAGAAAAAGAGAGAGGAAAAAGAGGCAGAAGUAAUAUAUGAAAUAAUAAUGGCUGAAAAUUUCCCCAAACUGAGGAAAAGGUUAAACAUUGAAUUGUCAUAUGAUGAAGCAAAUCUACUCUUAGAGUCAUAUCUAAGAGAAAUGAAAACACAUGUCUGCACAUAACCUUAUUCACAGAUAUUCACAGAAGUAUUAUUCAUAAUGCCAAAUAUAGAAACAAUCCAAAUGUCAUCAACUGAUGAGUAAUAAACAAGAUAUAGUAUGUUCCUACAAUGGAAUACUAUUAAGCCAUGAAGAAAAAAAUGCAAUAUUGAUAUUUACUACAAUCUUGGUGAAAUAUUUUUUAACUCAAUGAAUUUUAUUAUAAUUGUACAAUGAUAAUCACAACCAAAUUUUACAGAAUUUCCAUCCCAAAUCCCCAGCACAUCCUCCCCACUCCAACCUGUCUCCUUUGGAAACCAUAAGUUUUUCAAAGUCUGUGAGUCAGUAUCUGUUCUGCAAAGAAGUUCAUUGUAUCCUUUUUUUAGAUUCCACAUAUAAGUGAUAGCAUGUGAUGUUGGUGUCUCACUGUCUAACUUCACUUAGCAUGAUAAUUUCUAUAUCCACCCAUGUUGCUGCAAAUGCCAUUAUUUCUUUCCUUUUUAUGACUGAGUAAUAUUCCAUUGUGUAUAUGUACCACAUCUUCUUUAGCCACUCCUCUGUCGAUGGACAUUUAGGUUGCGUCCAUGUCUUGGCUAUUGCAUAUAGUGCUGCAAUGAACACUGGAGUACAUAUAUCUUUUCCAGUCAUGGUUUUCUCUGGAGAGAUGCCCAGGAAUGGGAUUGCUGGAUCAAAUUAUAAUUCUAUUUUUAGUUUUUUGAGGAAUCUCCAUACUGUUUUCCAUAUGGCUGCACCAAUUUAUAUUCCCACCAACAGUGUAAAAGGGUUCCCUUUUCUCCUCACCCUCUCCAGAAUUUAUUGUUUAUAGACUUUUUGAUUAUGACCACUCUGGCUGGUGUAAGGUGGUACCUCAUAGUAGUUUUGAUUUUCAUUUCUGUAAUAAUUAGGGACGUUGAACAACUUUUCAUGUGUUUUUCGGCCAUCUGUUUUGGAGAAUUGUCUGUUUAGAUUUUCUGCCCAUUUUUUGAUAGGGUUGUUCGUAUUUUUUUGGUAUUGAGCUGCAGGUGGUGUUUAUAAAUUUUGGAGAUUAAUUCCUUGUCAGUCACUUCAUUUGCAAAUAUUUCCUCCCAUUCUGUGGAUUGUCUUUUCACUUUGUUGAGGGUUUACUUUGCUGUGCAAAAACUUUUCAGUUUAAUUAGGUCCAAUUUGUUUAAUUUUGUUUUAAUUGCCAUUAUUCUAGGAGAUGGAUUUGAGAAGAUACUGAUGUGGUUUAUGUCAGAGUGUUCAGCUUAUGUUUUCUUCUAAGUGUUUUAUAGUAUCUGGUCUUAUAUUUAGGUCUCUAAUCCAUUUUGAGUUUAUUUUUUUGUAUGGUAUUAGGAAGUGUUCUAAUUUCAUUCUUUUACAUGUAGCUGUCCAGUUUUCCCAGCACCACUUAUUGAAGGGACUGUCUUUUCUCCAUUGUAUAUUAUUACCUCCUUUGUCAUAGGUUAGUAGACUGUAGGUGUGUGGGUUUAAUUCUGGGCUUUCUGCCCUGUUCCACUGCUCUAUAUUUCUGUUUUCUGUUUUUGUGCCAGUAUCAUAUGGUUUUGAUGACUGUAGCUUUGCAGUAUAGUCUGAAGUCAGGGAGCCUGAUUCCUCCAGCUCUAUUUUUCUUUCUAAGGUUGGCUUUGACUAUUAUGGGUCUUUUGUGCUUCCAAACAAACUUUAAAAUAUUUUGUUCUAGUUCUGUGAAAAAUGUCCUUGGUAAUUUGAUAGGGAUUGCAUUGAAUCUAUAGAUUGCCCUGGGUAUUAUCAUCAUUUGGAUAAUAUUCAUUCUUCCAAUCCAAGAGCAUGGUAUGUCUUUCCAUCUGUUUGUGUUAUCUUUGAUUUCUUUCAUCAGUGUCUUAUAGGUUUUGGAGUACACAUCUCUUGUCUCUUUAGGUAGGUUUAUUCCUAAGCAUUUUAUUCUUUUUGAUGUGAUGGUAAAUGGGAUUAUUUCCCUAAUUUCUCUUUCUGAAAUUUGUUGUUAGCAUAUAAAAAUGCAGUGACAGAGUUCCUGUCAUGUCUUAAUAGUUAAUGAAUCCGACUUGCAUCCAUGAGGAUGAGGGUUUGAACCCUGGCCUCGCUCAGUGGGUUAAGGAUCCAGCCAUGGCUGCGAGCUGUGACGUCAGUAGCAGACAUUGGUUGGACCCCACAUUGCUGUGGCUGUGGAGUAGGCCAGAAGCUGCAGCUGCAAUUUGACCCCUAGCUUGGGAACCUCCAUAUGCUGCAUGUGGGAUGUGGCCCUAAAAAUACCAAAAAAAAAA